GUGCCAGCCGCCGCGGUAAUACCGGCAGCCCAAGUGAUGGCCGCUCUUAUUGGGCCUAAAGCGUCCGUAGCUGGCCACGCAAGUCCGUCGGGAAAUCCAUCAGCCCAACUAGUGGGCGUCCGACGGAAACUGCACGGCUUGGGACCGGAAGGCUCGAGGGGUACGUCCGGGGUAGGAGUGAAAUCCCGUAAUCCCGAACGGACCACCGAUGGCGAAAGCACUUCGAGAAAACGGAUCCGACAGUGAGGGACGAAAGCCAGGGUCUCGAACCGGAUUAGAUACCCGAGUAGUCC
rnacentral:rRNA from 1 species